UACGUAGGGUGCAGGCGUUUAAUCGGAAUUACUGGGCGUAAAGCGUGCGCAGGCGGUUUCUUAAGUCAGAUGUGAAAGCCCCGGGCUUAACCUGGGAACUGCGUUUGAAACUGGGAGACUAGAGUGUGUCAGAGGGGGGGUAGAAUUCCACGUGUAGCAGUGAAAUGCGUAAAUAUGUGGAGGAAUACCGAUGGCGAAGGCAGCCCCCUGGGAUAACACUGACGCUCAUGCACGAAAGCGUGGGGAGCAAACAGG
rnacentral:rRNA from 1 species